rnacentral:lncRNA from 1 species
CCCCUUGAAUCGAUAUCUAGAUGAUGCCAGAAGACGACUACUGAGCAUGUCUCUUACAGGCACGUCUCUGGAGCCUUGAACCUCUCCAGCACCAUCAGCAGCUUUGGUCUGGCGCCGGCCGCAGCAGCUGGAAGUUCAGAAGUCAGUGUCUUGUGAAGCCAGGCGCUCUAAAUCUAAUUCCAGACACAGGCUGCUGCCAGUUGCAAAGAGCUGCUUCUUCCUCUGGGACACGUUUCUCCAUGAGUUACAUCAAGGUCCUCAGUAAAUUGGCAUAUGGCAAUAGUCAACAGCUGGACAGGAAGCCAGGGGCCUUGGGUUCAAAUCCUGUCUCUGCCACUCGAGUUUUGCCUUUGUGAUUGCAAGCCACCUAGACUGCUUAAGCUAACGGAAGUGGGGGCAGAGUCAUUCACUGUAAAAUCACAGGAAAGUUUUGAAGGUUGACGACCUCUCAUCUAAAAUGGAGAAGCCCCAAAUACCUCCAGAUCUUGUGAGCACUUCCACAGAGUCGCAAAGGUAAAGUCCACUCCUGAACCCAUCAAACGGGUCACAGGCGGUCAACUCAAGCUCACU